rnacentral:misc_RNA from 1 species
CCCAACUAUCCCUAUUAAUCAUUACGGUGAUUCAGAAACCAACAAAACAGGACCACCGUCCUAUUCUAUUAUUCCAUGCUAAUGUAUUCAGACGUAAGCCUGCUUUGAACACUCUAAUUUUUUCAAGGUAAAGGUCCUGGUUUCCCACCACGCUAAAUUAAUAACAUGAUGGUUCUCCAGAAGGUAGGAAUUUUACACGCUAGUACAGACUGGUUAGCCCGACCAACGGUAGAACCCCGAAAUUCAACUACGAGCUUUUUAACUGCAACAACUUUAAUAUACGCUAUUGGAGCUGGAAUUACCGCGGCUGCUGGCACCAGACUUGCCCUCCAA